ACCGCUCGUGGGCGUGGUCACUGGAUGGGUGCGGUCCCUUGUGGGCGUGGUCGGAGCUGGCGAGGCCCCGCCCACUGCCCAGCGGAGCGAGCGGAGCUGCCGGAGCCGCGGGACCCCCGAGCGCGGCCCCACCAUGAAUUUCCUCCCGGCCGCCGUCACCGCCCUUCAUCUCCUCGUGCUCCUCCUCUUCUUCAUCGCCACCCUGGAUAAGGGCUGGUGGGUGCUGCCAGAUUCUCAGGGACUCAACCUCUGGUACGACUGCGCCCCCCAAAAUCGCUCCCAGGGCUGGGAGUGCAGCAGCCUCGGGCUCAGCCCCCUGCUCAGGGGUGUCCAGGGCCUCGUGGUC